UACGUGAACCUGCGGAAGGAUCAUUG
rnacentral:rRNA from 1 species